rfam:Oryza sativa (indica cultivar-group) chromosome 1, whole genome shotgun sequence.
AAAAAAGUAAACCCUGAGUUUUCGUGUCUAAUUUUGACUGUUCGUUUUAUAUGAAUUUUUUUUAUAAUUCGUAUUUUAAUUGUUGUUAGAUGAUAAAACAUUAUUUAUAUUUUAUACGUGACUUGUCUUUUUAAUUUUUUUCAUAUUUUUUUUAAAUAAGACGGACGGUCAAACGUUUAGUACGGAAAUAAGUGUUUGUCUUUUCU